AGAAUCAACGCUGGCGGCGUGCCUAACACAUGCAAGUCGAACGAGAAAGUGGAGCAAUCCAUGAGUAAAGUGGCGCACGGGUGAGUAACACGUGACUAACCUACCCUUGAGUGGGGGAUAACCUAGGGAAACCUGGGCUAAUACCGCAUAAUACCUACGGGUCAAAGGAGCAAUUCGCUUUGGGAGGGGGUCGCGGCCGAUUAGUUAGUUGGCGGGGUAAUGGCCCACCAAGACGAUGAUCUGUA
rnacentral:rRNA from 1 species